UUGACCACUCCCCGACAGGCGAAAGAAGCAGAAGAAUUUUGAAGCAGAGAGGUUGUGUGGAACUGAAGUUGAAUUUUGCCAUUUUUUGUGGAAGUGAAAAAGUGGCGCUUGUUUAUGAGGAGAGGACAAGGGAAUAAAAGGUUGGGAAGCUGAAUCAGGUAAUGAACAAGGCCUCUUGUGUGGUACCUAAACAAAGGGUCUUAUAUUCUCUCCAGUUUUGUAGCCUGUACCACCUAUUAUGCAUUUAAACCCAUCUUUCAUAUUUAAUGACCUAUGCAGAGAAAUAAUGAUGAUUGCAUCUUCUCUUAUGGAACCCAAUGACUGAGUGAACAACCCCUAUGUCCUUUCAAAUUCAAGAAAACUCUGGUAUUUAUGCUCUCUCAAGCCCAAUUUCACUUUCAUUGACAGCUUCUACCUGUCUUGUGCUGGGUAAGUCAGAGAAUUAAUGGGUCUUUAGAUGCACUUCCAGGUGGUGUUGUGUGGUGAAGACAUAUCCCUAUGGUCAUUUAAGAGAUUCUGAACAUUUCCUUUCAGACCUUUAUACAUACAUAACACAUCAUCACAUACCAUGUCUCUUCUCAAUAACUCAACUGCUGCUGUUUUCAGGUGUCCAUAAACGGAUACUACUUCUUAUUUUUAAUCUCCUAUUUAAGUCAGAUACACAUAUACCCUUUCUUUGCUUUACCAUUCCCAUUAUUCUUCUUCUUCUCCCUCUUCACA
rnacentral:lncRNA from 1 species